rnacentral:lncRNA from 1 species
AGUUCAUAAAAUAAAAUGUUAACCGUCACUUAGUUUUGGAAAUUGACGGAGAUCCGACCGUUGGAUGGUAAUGAAAUUUUAGGAUGUUGUCCUAGAGGUAUAUUGUGGACCUCUGGAAGUUAUGGAUUUAAAAUCUGAGUGGCAGAUCUUCCGGAUCGAACUACGUAGUGACGUAUUUUAUAUAAGUUAUAUAUUCUAUCGAUAUGAAUUCUGAGGUUGGAUUUGAUUACUGUUUUAGGCGCCGAUCGUCAUGACGCCUUGGCGUAUUGUGCUAGGGAAUUGUAGGGAGAACUCCAGGUGAGUGGGCAGUUUUGUUUUCGUAUUACCUAUAUACAACUGUUUUUCCCAGAAAAUACGUUUAUAUGAAAAUUAUGAUUUAAAUUGCCAUGCAUGCAAAUGUUGAGAUAUUUAGUUUAAUAAUUGAUGCAUAUAUAUGUUAAUUGACGCGGUGGACGCACAGGUGAGUUUUUAUAUUAUUCAGAUGAGUUAUUUGAUGAAAAUUGCAUUGAAAGCUCAUAACCUGCACCCUAGGUGAUAGUGCUUAUAUUAUUCACCACACCGCACGCUCGUCUUGGAUCCAAGUAGGUGGAUGUCAUACAGACCAUGUGAGGGUUCCGACAUGCUAGUCGUAUAGAUCACUAGAUGUGAUUCCGACUAGUGGGUG